UCCUAAUGAUGAUACCUUUUGUCCAGUUCUGCUACUGAAGUUAAGCGAUGACCCUCUACAACCUGAAGGA
rnacentral:snoRNA from 1 species